GUUAGGGUGGGAAGUCUUUCCUUAAUGCAGACGACUUUUGCUGAGGAGCCAUCUCUAUGCGGCUGCUGGGGGGCAGGGUGAGGGGCUGGAGAGGAGGUGCUGCCACUAUGGACAGCUCUUGAGGAACAGCUCCUGCAGUGGUGAUUUUUGAAAAACUAUGGGCUGAGGUAGGGAUGAUGCAGCCACCAUGGAUAGCUCCUGCAGCGCCUGUGAUGGCUGCAGGCUGAGGGGAUGCCGCCAUUUUGACAGGAGCCGCCAUUCUGGACAGCUCCUGUGGGACAUUUCACUGCUGGGGCAGGAAGGAGGGGCCUGGUGCCACUGCUUGGAGGGCUUUUGUGGUGUGCUGCUCUUGGACUAAUUUCUGAAGAGCAACCCAGUCUCUGUCUCCUGUUACAAGAGUGAAUGAAGAAUUCAACUGAACUUGGCCACAAACUCGAAUUCAACCAAGACUUUUCUUGUGCUUGCUCUGUCAGCCAAAGAAAUGCCUUUAUCUACAAUGUGCCAGCCAUUAUGAAGGGGGGCACAGAAGACUUCCCCUUACGUUACACAUUUUAAACACUCUGGAAAAACAGACAGCCGGCAGUAAAUAUGCAAACACUGUUGCCACUGGCAGGAGAAAGGACAAGGUGCAUCUUCACUGAGCAGGCAUCCUUAAGAAGGAAAAAGAAGACGCAGGGGCACCGAGUGCUGCCUUCUGGGAAGAUAUCAAAAACAUUCUACAGAAAACUUCAGAAGGCUUUGCCAAAGGGGCUCUCCUCCAGCUGGGCCAGUGGAUGGUGGGGAAGGAAGUCACCGUGGGGAAGGGGCCCUGGUGCAGCACGGUCAUCUACAAAGGCUGAAGCCUCUUCAGUAGGAACCGCACCUUUCAAGGCAGCACCGGGAUGUGGCCCAGAGGAAGCCUCUGAGGACUUAGCCCCCAGCACAGCAGCAUCAGCCACUCAGCCCGGGGAAAGUGGGAUGGCAACAAGGCCAGGUGAGAGGAGUAACACAUGACACACGUGAUCAUUCCCAAGCAGAGUGGAGGGCGUGACCAUUGUCACACACUGAACAAGGAAGAGCUCUUCUUCAUUCAGGAGGAAUUCCGGCUCCUACCCUAGGAUGGAUUCAUAUAAGCAAAUCUGACCUUCCCAGUGGCGGACUCUUCUCUUGUACAUUGGAGAGUUCUGGACAGAGUCAGUCCAUUCCAGAUGAUCCUCUCUGAGCACAUGCAGUUCCUAGUGUUCCAGCGUUGAGUCAAAGUAGCAUUUCCCGGGGCUUUUACAGCUUUUCUGAUUGUAUCUGUUACUCAAAGUAAUUCUUCAAAGUUGCAGUCCCUUGUGAGUCUGGGUGGUAUAAAGUAGCUGGCCUAGGAUGUAGGAGAUCAUGGCAUAGAGACUACGUACUGCAGAAGAGAAACUUUUAAAUGAGCCAAAGGAGUCGUUCUGAUGGCUGUAUUUUGUCUCUAUGGGGCAGCAUUUGCCUUCGUUCACACCCAAAGUACUCACUCCUACGUGCAUAAUUCCAAGUGUUUGCAUGUGCCCUGCCUUGUGGCUGUUCCUGCAAACAUCACAGUCAGCAGAAACAAUCUGGGUAAGGUCAAGUGAAACUCAGGUUCAGCCCUACUUCAGUUAGCCCGCUGGGCCAAAUCUUCCGGGGUCUGACAUCAAGCAAUUUAUAUCUUAACACUUUGAAACAUAGUAAAACUUUGGGGAAACUUCCACGUGACAGCUAUCACAACGGAGCUUCAUGACAGCACUUCAUGUUAAACCAAUUAUCUGUCGCAGCUCUUCAUUUUUGCUUUUGUUAAAAAGUUCCAAAGGAGCAAAGCAUUCUUCAGGGCAAGCUUCACUUCAGAUUUCUGCGAGAGCGUGAAGUAGAGAACAAAUAUGUGCUUAAGUUCCGUAACCACAUGAUGGAGUUCUUCCAGUCCCAGUGACACGCAGAAAAAGGGCAGGUUCCACUCUUCUGGAAUCUCCGUCACAAUCUCUCUUCCAACACUGGGAAGAAAGAAAAC
ensembl:lncRNA